GGGGCGGAGGAUGAGAAAUCGUUCGAGGCUCAAGAAGGGGAGGAAGCGUGAAAAGCGGCCAGUGGCGAACGGGUGAGUAACACGUAGGCGAUCCACCUUGCAGUGGGGAACAACUGCUCGAAAGGGCAGCUAAUACCGCAUAAGGUCUAGCGGAAGCUAGAAGAAAGGGGCGCGAGUCCCGCUGGAAGAGGAGCCUGCGGCCGAUUAGCUAGUUGGUGAGGUAACGGCCCACCAAGGCGAUGAUCGGUAGCUGGUCUGAGAGGACGAUCAGCCACACUGGAACUGGGACACGGUCCAGACUCCUACGGGAGGCAGCAGUAAGGAAUAUUGCACAAUGGGGGAAACCCUGAUGCAGCAACGCCGCGUGAGUGACGAAGGCCUUCGGGUUGUAAAACUCUUUUCUGAGGGAUGAGGAAGGACAGUACCUUAGGAAUAAGUCUCGGCUAACUACGUGCCAGCAGCCGCGGUAAAACGUAGGAGGCGAGCGUUAUCCGGAUUUACUGGGCG
rnacentral:rRNA from 1 species